GGCUGAACAAUAUUAAGAACAUUUAAAUGUAUGAGCAUAUGACAUUUCUGCAUGUUGUCAAAUGGUGGGUCCAUAUGUGUGCCAAAUGGCAGUAGAAUCUCUCCAGCAUCUCUCUCUUUUCCAGCCUUGCUAUCUGGACUUUUAAUGAAGAUGUCAGGAUUUUAACCCAGGGCCUUUUAUUCACAAAGGUUGUGUUUUACAACUGGGUGGUGGUUGUUCCUUUUGAUAAAUAAAUUGCGCUGAGAGCCCAGCUUCAGCUUUCUGUAAGAAGCAAUUAAGGGUUAGAGUGCUUGGCUUGGACUAAGAAGACCCAUGUUCAAAUCCUCACCCAGUCAUGCAAUACACUGGGUGACUUUGUACUGUUUCUUAGCCUUGCCUCUCUUACAAGGUGGUAUUACAGACAGAGCAUCACUGUGAGUCUAUUAAUAACAGACUUUUAGGAGAAAAGGUAUUCCUGCAAAUACUCAUCAUAACAAGCUACUAGCAUUUUUUUUUAACUCUUUGGCAAAAUAUAAUCAAUUGGGGCUAACAGAAUAACAGUAUAUUAAAAUAACUUACAAUUGCCACUUCGAGUUAAAAUUUGUAAGCUAGGGUUUUAGUUGCGUGGUUGCUAAAAGCAAUUGUGGUCCUUUAAAAGAUACAGGAAAAGCCCUGCUCACCCUUUUGAGGCCUUUGAAUUUCUGUCUGCUAACUGGCAGAAUAGAACCUUGAUUGAGAUUUUGCAUGAGUGGGAUGAAUGCCGGCUGUUGAAAGCCAGAAACAGAUGAUCAUGAUUUGUAUCCCUACUUGGAAGUUGCUUCUUAAUUGGCAUGCUUGGGCAUAAUGAUGUUCCUAACAUCUUUAUCAUGUAAAUGGCCUCUCAUGGUUGAAUAUGUAUUGAUCUCUUUGGAACGCUCACAGAAGCAGUCUUUCAUGUUGAAUUACCGGAACUUUGCACUUCAGCCUGAGUUAUAUUGAUGCCUAAAGGACUGCCUCCUGGCUUGCCAGAAUGUACAGUUUAAAAGGCAAUAGUUCAGCUGCAGACCUGAUCAAUAUCCGGUAACUGCAGCAUAGUUGACUCACCUUCUAGGACAGUUUGAAUAUGAGCGUGUUUUGGCGUCAUCAGAACGAUUGCUGUCAUCUGUCCUAGCAUUCUGUUCUUCCUUCCAGCAAGCCACUGAGAUGGUGCAGGGAAAGAUGAGUAAGGCUCCAAAAGGCUGCUUUUUGCCAUACUUGGAUUAGGGUAGUACAGUGCUCCCCAAUUUCUGCACAGCAACUUGGAUGUCAAGGUGCCCUGCAGGAUAUAUAUAUGCUCUACAGGUAACAGAUUAUUCCUGGCUUUAUCUUGCAGACCUCUUGAUUGCCAGCCACUGUGCAUCUUGGUUUUUAUUGCUAUAAUCUGCCCUAGUAGGGACUAAUCUAGAGUGAUAAAUCUUGAUAAGGGAUGUCCAGCUUCUGUAAAAUCUAGGCCUAUUAUGUUCUUCUGCAAUGUUUUGUGAGCUAGGGGGUUUAGUUUUGUUCUGCAAACAUGUCUCUUUGCAUGUAGUCAGGUGUCAUAGUUGGCCAUCACAGUUAUAGAGCUCAUAUCAUAGAAAUGCAGAAUUGGAAGGGACCCUGAGGAUCAUCUAAUCCAGUGGUUCUCAACCUGUGGGUCCCCAGAUAUUGUUGGACUACAACUCCCAUCAUCCCUGAGCUCUGGCCUUGCUAGCUAGGGGUGAUGGGAGUUGUAGUUCAACAGCAUCUGGGGACCCACAGGUUGAGAAAGGCUGACUAAUCCAACCCCCUGCAAUGCGGGAAUAUGCAGCUGUCUCAUAAAGGGAUCGAACCUACAACCUUGAUGUUAUCAAAUGUGCAAGUUUAUAAAAGUUUAGAAAUUGCACUGCAAAGGGGACUUGUAAUAAACAGAUAUUUGUUCCUUUAGUUAUAACUUGACAUUGUUUUUCUUCUCUUUGUGAUUGAAAUUGUGUAAAUUGGCGCAGCUAGAUGACCGUUGGAUCCUUUCCAACUCUACAAUUCUAUCAUUUUAAAUUGAUUAAAAUUUGGUAAGACUUCCAGUGGCUAUGUUGAAAUUGCCUUUGGGUCCAGAUUUGGCAGGUGGGUUGCCUGUUGGCGAUUUCUCAGAUAGAGAGUGGCAUUCUUGUUAUGCAGUUGAUAAACUUUUUUAUUAUAGGAAUCCUAAUAACGUUGGGCAUCUAUUGCUUAUUCACAUUGACUUAUCUCCCAAGAAAAUCUGUAAAUCUCAAACAGAGAUACAAUUACUCAGACCACUCUGUGGUCCAAAACCUUGUGUCUCAAAUGUCAUCCUGUGUUGUGGCCAGUUCCCAUAGCAUUUUUUUCCCCAAAGAACAGAGUGCUCUUUUAUUCAUUUUAUUGUAGCUGACACCAGGUCUCACUUUUAUUUCCACAAUUGCUUUUCUUCUCUUAGCGGUAUAUGCUACUUAGUUGAUUUUCUUUUACUUUCUGUGGCCUUCCUGGUCUUUUCUUCCUUCAGCACUGCUUCAACCAUCCUCAACCAUCCCCAACCAACUCACCCUCCUUUUGUUUAUCGUCACACAUCUCAAAAGGUGGGUUUCUCUGCCUUCAGGCUGCCUUUGUCGCUGCCUUGUUGGACCUUGAUAUUCUUCUACAAACUCUGUACAUCACUUUAU
rnacentral:lncRNA from 1 species